GGUGGGGUCAUGCAUGGAUUAAUUUGGUCAAUCUGAGGGGGCGGGGCCAUACAAGUUAUGGUGAUCAGUUUGAGGGGCUACGGCCAUGCAUAGAUCACUAUGUUCAGUGUGCGGGGGCAGGAAAAUGUAGAGAUAAGGCUCUCCAGCCUGAAUAAAGCAAUCCUGGAGCAUGUGUUCUGAUUAGCCAGCAGCAAACAUUGUAGGUAGG